GGUGAGUCGGGGUUGCACAGAGGAGAAGGUCUUUGGGGAGGGAAAUUCGAACUAUUUCUGUGCAGCCAGGAAACUCCCAUGGGGGAGCUGCCCUUCUCGCCCUGCCAGGCUGCAGAAUGACGUCCAUGUUUCGUUCUAGCUCAUUCCAUCCUCCAAUGGGACAUAGGAGAGAAAUGGCUGCAGUGGAGCCAGCUCAGAAGCCGGUGACCUUCGAGGCGGUGGCUGUGUAUUUCACCAGGGAAGAGUGGGCU